rnacentral:lncRNA from 1 species
CUCAUCCUUUCCCUAGUGUUUCCUGAAAUGUUUAACAGCAUCCUCUUUGCCUUUUUCCCAGAGACUGAGUUCCUCUUUGUGGUCAAGGUUCCUCUUCCCUCCUCCUUAGUCACUGAGAAACAAGGACCAUGUUAAUACAUCUUUGCAGGGAAAACAGAUGAUCCUGGUGGCCAAAAUACACCAUUUCUUCUGGUUUGAUCCUUUGCAGGUGCUCUGUGUGCACCCUCACUGCAUCCAGCGGGGUGACCAUGCUCCACAUCUGCCAGGGUCACUUUUCCCUCCAAAGGAAAGGCCUCUCGGGAGCAGCAGAUAGAAAACCAGCCCUGGGAACUCUGCAUUUUUUGGAGGAAACCUGCACAAUCUGCUUUUCAAGCCUGCUGUUCCAGAAGAGCAACUGAACACGUGCU